rnacentral:lncRNA from 1 species
AAUGCAUUUCGACAAUGCAAUGAAAAAACGUAGGUGUAACUUUCAGAAUCGUGUGAACGGUCGAGUAGUUUGGAACAAUACAGAAAGUGUUUCAAUAUAAUUGAAGUUUAACUAACACACAACCCCAGCUACAUGGAGGAGAAAGAACUAAGUUAAACAUAGGACUAAGCAUUCCUUGUCGAUAAACUAAAUAGGCAAUCAGAACUCUCAGAAUACGAAAAAAAAAACUUAAUGCCUACAACCAAAUCUAUUUAUAUAUCAAGGAGAGGCUCGUACCGUCUCCAAGUAGACCAAACCAGACCUAAAAGAGACUGAUACUUGUCGUGGAAUCAAGACAAACAUUACGAAACAUACCUUUUCAAAUCAUUUGUCACUUUUGUCAUGUAAUUCACUACUGCGUUUUAUGCCCUUAAUUCGCAGAAUUCAAGGGUAUACUGAAUAUGUAGUGAUCUACGUAAAAGGCAAUAUGAAAAAUUAUGUUUUGGACCCCAAAGUCCACAAGGCACUUCUAGAUAAAGACCGUAGCUCUCUUCGAAUUUUUCAUUUAAAAAACUAAGGGAAGAUCACGAUUCAACUGUUGUAACUAUACCCAGUACUGACUAUCGGAAUUUUUCCCAAUAGUUUUUUGUAUGCUUCAUAAAUUAAGAACCUAAAAAAUAACUUUUGUUCUGUGUUUCUUUUAAAUACAUAUUCUUAUCCCCACAUUAUUCAAUUCCUUCUACAAUUCUUCUACCCCAAAAAGGUAGAUACGGUCUCCGCUCAUUAUCUGUGUGUUUGUGCAAAGAGCUAGCCAUCAUCAAUCUGCCUAGUAUAGAUCCGCUCACCAGACCCUUCACGCCUGCCAACGGCACAAAAGACCGAGACCUUGCAUUCCUCUCCAGCGAGUCGAACUAGACGGAACUUGAACACGCGACUCCGGGCCGGGUCCCAAAAGCGAUAAAAUGCAGCGUUAAGUGGAGUGCUUGAUUAGACGAGCGAUUUGCCAGAUAUUUUGAGCGCCUACAAUUAGAAACGGCCGCGGUAAUAAUGUAAACUAGUAAGUACUGGAAGUACUGGAAACUGUCACGAGCAAGUAUCACAGGCAGCUUCGCAAGGGGUUGGUGGUGCUUGAAAAAUGAUUUACACGCAUAAAUCAUAAAUUAUGUGCCAUUUUGAAGUGGCCCAAAACGACACACUACGCUGACAAAUGCAGAUGAUGGACAAUGGAAAUAAUGAUGUUUGGGAUGCUGCUGACGAGGGAGAGCCUUGUUGAGAUUGCAUUUGUUUGUCAUGAUGAUGAUAUUCAGCAGGCGACUCCUUUGCUUCGAAAGCUGGAGCUUUCAGUUUCAGCUCCGGCCCCAAACACCUGUGUCCGACUCUUAUCGGCCAAGCACCUAUCUACGUCAUACAAAAUUCAACUCAGCUCAAACUUAAAACACAACAAGAAGGGACGUGUGACGCUUCUUACGCGUCACAACUUUUAUACCCGGCACUCAGUACUACAUCUGCACCUUAUCGGUGUUUUGUCAAAUUUAAUAUUUUCUAUUCAUCUGUCAUCUACAUCUACAACACUUCGGCACCCUUCCCUAGAUCCUCACACUGCUGAGUCAGGGCAGAGACGCGGCAGAGCCAGAGGCAGAGACGUGUCUGCGCGAAGCAGAGUGUAAAUGAGAGAAUGUGAAAAAACAAAUAUAAGCUGCGGGACUGGGUGAGUU